CAGUAGCCACGGGAAUACGAAGGGUGCAAGCGUUAAUCGGAAUUGCUGGGCGUAAAGCGUGCGUAGGCGGUGAGUUAAGUCUGCUGUGAAAUCCCCGGGCUCAACCUGGGAAUGGCAGUGGAUACUGGCUCGCUAGAGUGUGUCAGAGGAUGGUGGAAUUCCCGGUGUAGCGGUGAAAUGCGUAGAGAUCGGGAGGAACAUCAGUGGCGAAGGCGGCCAUCUGGGGCAACUCUGACGCUGAGGCACGAAAGCGUGGGGAGCAAACAGGAUUAGAUACCCGCGUAGUCCCUGUCUCUUAUAC
rnacentral:rRNA from 1 species